rnacentral:lncRNA from 1 species
UGCUCUGGAGCUGCUCACCUCCUACUCUCCGGAACAGUGGGGUAAUCGCUGCAUCCGGUAGCAAGCCUGAUCCAUCGUUGUCUCAGAGCCUCAUGCUUUAAAGGCUGCAGUUCAAAAUCUCAUUUCUNCUGCUCCUGAAAAAGCAGAAGCUAUAGCUUGCAGUGGCGAGCAGAAGUCCACUUGGUGGAACGCAGCUGAGAUCCUGCUUUCAGAGAUUCUCCAAAGAACAAAAAGUGGUGCAAAUUAAGUUGCAUCCAGUCUCCUUUCAAAUAAGGUCGAAGCAUGGCUGUCUCCAGUCCAGGUUACCUGCAAGCAGCCAUGGGUACCCAUCUCCAGG